AUGCAACCUUGGAGUCUCCCCAAUUGCUGUCUAAGACCCCCUCACUUUCUCCUGGCUUCUUUGCCCACCUAUGGAAGGAGGAUGAACAUAUUUUCUGAAACCUCAACCAGGAGAGAUUGGGAUCACAAGUGGGUAGAAGCCGCAGAUUUGUGGUCAAAUGGAAGAAGGAUUUUCAGAGUGCAGGUGCAGAGCCACCAUCUGGCAGCUGUGCCUUCUGGGGCAUGUGGCCUCAUCGGUGACCGCAGUGGUCACUGCGGAUGGAUGAGGAAAGGAUGUGGAAAGGAUGAGAGCAUGGAGAUCCCAUGGCCCCUCUUCUAUACUCCAACUGAGAAGAGGCGCAUGUCACUUUGGUUCUUAGCUUCCUGCCCAGAACCAGUCGAGGGAAACAAAGAGUGCACCAAGAAGGGGAUAUGAGCCAGAUAUUUGUCCUAGUUUUGCAUUUUGAAUACAGCAAUGACAAAAAUGCAAUUCUUCCCUCACCCCAGAUUUGCUUAAAGGACACAUAAUAUUCCCAUCAAUUUCCAUGUAAGUACCUAGGAAAGUGCUCCUAGGAACAGCCCACCUGUGUUUGGCCCUGGGAAGUCUUCACAACCAUGCAUCCAAUUAGUCCCAUAGCAACCAUUCAUUCAUGCCACAAAUAUGUCCUGAGCACCUACUAUGUUCCAGGUACAGAACAAUUUAAUGAGUUCGUAAACUUUUCAUGCACUCGUCUCUGCACAUUUGUUAGAGUUGCCCUUUUGCAGUGUGUCUUUGGUCUCCCAUCUGCCUGGAAAACUCCUAUGCACUCCUCAAUGCCCAUCUCAAUUUCACUACCAUUGUGAAGCGUUUGCUCACAUCUCAUUCACUGCCCCCUCUUCUGGGGCCCUUGCUGUGACAUCUCAGUUGUUGCCCUGUUGGUCUCCCCACUAAACCUGAAUUACACAGGGGGUGACUUACUCAUUUAUUCAACAAACACUUAGCAAAGGAAAACUGUGUUUUACCAUAUCGAGGCCGUGGCAGAGAUCGGCUGUCAGUCUUCUUCAUGUUAGCUGCACCCAGCACAGGUUGAGUAGGGACUUGGUCAUAACAACGUCUUCCUCUAAGUACUCAGGCCCACUCUGUGCCUUGCAUGAUGCUUUGUAUUUUACAAAUAGCUUCUCACUGGCUUCUCUGCCCUCACCUGUACUCCUCUGCCCCAAGUCUGUU
rnacentral:lncRNA from 1 species